rnacentral:rRNA from 1 species
AAUAUUGCGCAAUGGGCGAAAGCCUGACGCAGCAACGCCGCGUGGGGGAUGAAGGCCUUCGGGUUGUAAACCCCUUUCAGCAGGGACGAAAAUGACGGUACCUGCAGAAGAAGCCCCGGCCAACUACGUGCCAGCAGCCGCGGUAAAACGUAGGACACGAACGUUAUCCGGAGUUACUGGGCGUAAAGCGCGCGUAGGCGGUAUGUUAAGUUACCUAUGAAAGUUAUCGGCUAAACUGGUAGAAGUUAGGUAAAACUGGCGUACUAGGGUGAAAUAGAGGGAAGUAGAAUUCCGGGUGUAGUGGUGAAAUGCGUAGAUAUCCGGAGGAAUACCAGUGGCGAAGGCGGCUUCCUGGAUUUCGACCGACGCUGAUGCGCGAAAGCGUGGGUAGCGAACGGGAUUAGAAACCCCGGUAGUCCACGCCGUA